GAACCACUUUCCUGUCAUUCAGGAAAGUCAAGGCCAUACGGACAGCCGGGUUCACUGCCGA
rnacentral:sRNA from 12 species